AUUGCAAACCCCUAAAGCCUUAGAGCUGCAGAUGCUGCUGGUUCAAGACUUGAAGGGGAAAUUCUGUGCCAAGCAGAGCUCAAGGGUUUGAAUUUAAACUGCAGCCAGCCAGCCCCUGGAGCUGCAUGAAAUGGAAGGGUUUAUGUCCUUGCCUUCCUGGCAGGAAAAUCAUCCCAACUCAGUGCAGCAAAAUGGACUGGGUCCAAUGCUCGUGGAAGGAAUUAAACAGGUAAAGUGUGUUUAACAAGGAAUUUCACAUGGAGGCUUUCAGGUACACUGAAUAUUUCCCCAAGAUGCAUUCUGCUUCACACAGAGGCCUCUUCCUACAAUAUCCUUGGCUUUCCCAAGGAAUCAGUGUCCACAG